AGAACGAACGCUGGCGGCGUGCCUAACACAUGCAAGUCGAACGCGAAAGUCCCGCAAGGGAUGAUUAGAGUGGCAAACGGGUGAGUAACACGUGGGUGACCUGCCUUCGAGUGGGGGAUAACGCUCCGAAAGGGACGCUAAUACCGCAUAACAUCCUGCCUUUUAAGAGGUGGAGAUCAAAGCCUGGGACCGCAAGGCCAGGCGCUUGACGAGGGGCCCGCGUCUGAUUAGCUAGUUGGUGGGGUAAUGGCUCACCAAGGCAACGAUCAGUA
rnacentral:rRNA from 1 species